rnacentral:lncRNA from 1 species
GUUCCUACAAUGAAUAUGCUACAGUCAACAUUCACCUCAGGGUUCCGAAUGGCUAAGAGAUCGAGUUAUGGUGUAGUCAAACUAUAACACACUCAAGAUGAACUGUCGAUGUACCUCAGAUCAAAGAACUAGACACACAGCUGUAGCAUCGAGCUAGUCAUCGAUGAGAAGGUAGAUUUUCUUAUGACUGCUUGAGGUGG